UCACGACGGCCCUGCCAGACGGACACAUGCAGUCCUCCUCAGCUGGAGCAUGCCUCUGUCACCUGCAGCCCCGGGACAGAGAGGACUGAGUCCUCUCACUGCACUGUCCACUGUCAUCCAGGUUUUACCCUCACUGUGUUCAGUGGCAAGGGCCAUCCACCCCAUCAGCGAGAAACGGAGCUUCAGUGUAUACAUGGAGCAUGGGACCGUGUUGUGAGCUGUCAGCCAAUCGACUGUGGCCCCCCUGACCAGUCUCACGUCUACUUGGCUGUCUUCAGCUGCCCCUGGGGCACAACAUUAGGCAAGCAGUGCUCUUUCACCUGCAACCCCCCCGCCAUACUCCAGGGGGACAGUGAUAGGUUGGUGUGCCUAGAUGAUGGUCUAUGGUCCUUCCCUGAAGCCUACUGUAAGAUAGAGUGCCCAGAGCCUCCAACAGUACCCAACGCCAAGCUCCUAGUGCCCCAGUGCGAAGGUACAGGGCAUGAUGUGGGUACCGUAUGCCGUUACAAAUGUAACCCAGGUUGCUAUGUUACUGGCAGCCUAAAAACAAAG